rnacentral:rRNA from 1 species
AACGAACGCUGGCGGCAGGCCUAACACAUGCAUGUCGAACGCACCGCAAGGUGAGUGGCGCACGGGUGAGUAACACGUGGGAAUGUAUCCUUUGGUUCGGAAUAACGUCUGGAAACGGACGCUAAUACCGGAUGAGCCCUUAGGGGGAAAGAUUUAUCGCCGAAGGAGCAGCCCGCGUCUGAUUAGGUAGUUGGUGGGGUAAAGGCCUACCAAGCCGACGAUCAGUAGCUGGUCUGAGAGGAUGAUCAGCCACACUGGGACUGAGACACGGCCCAGACUCCUACGGGAGGCAGCAGCGGGGAAUAUUGGACAAUGGGCGCAAGCCUGAUCCAGCCAUGCCGCGUGAGUGAUGAAGGCCUUCGGGUUGUAAAGCUCUUUCGCACACGACGAUGAUGACGGUAGUGUGAGAAGAAGCCCCGGCUAACUUCGUGCCAGCCGCCGCCGUAAUAC